GGGGUUUUGAGAGCGGCGCACGGGUGAGUAACGCGUACAUGACCUACCUUUAAGACUGGGAUAGCCCUGGGAAACUGGGAUUAAUACCGGAUGUGAUAAUAGAUAUAGAUAUUUAUUAUUAAAGCUGAGGCGCUUAGAGAUGGAUGUGCGUCUGAUUAGCUAGUUGGUAGGGUAACGGCCUACCAAGGCGACGAUCAGUAGGGGGCGUGAGAGCGUGACCCCCCACACGGGUACUGAGACACGGACCCGACUCCUACGGGAGGCAGCAGUAAGGAAUAUUGGUCAAUGGACGAAAGUCUGAACCAGCCAUCCCGCGUGCAGGAUGACUGCCCUAUGGGUUGUAAACUGCUUUUGGCAGAGAAGAAGAGCAUUCUUUCAAGAGUGUCUGACGGUAUCUGCAGAAUAAGCACCGGCUAACUCCGUGCCAGCAGCCGCGGUAAUACGGAGGGUGCAAGCGUUAUCCGGAAUCACUGGGUUUAAAGGGUGCGUAGGCGGAAUAUUAAGUCAGUGGUGAAAUCUUGUCGCUUAACGAUAAAAUUGCCAUUGAUACUGGUAUUCUUGAAUUGGGUUGAGGUUAGCG
rnacentral:rRNA from 1 species